GAUCCUGGCUCAGGAUGAACGCUGGCGGCGUGCCUAAUACAUGCAAGUAGAACGCUGAAGCUUGGUGCUUGCACCGAGCGGAUGAGUUGCGAACGGGUGAGUAACGCGUAGGUAACCUGCCUGGUAGCGGGGGAUAACUAUUGGAAACGAUAGCUAAUACCGCAUAACAGUCGACAUUGCAUGAUGUUGAUUUGAAAGGGGCAAUUGCUCCACUACCAGAUGGACCGGCGUUG
rnacentral:rRNA from 1 species